CAGAGAAAAGAUAUUCUGGCCACUACAAGGGUGAUUGUGAAGAAAUGCAGCGGCCUCGAGUUGGUGGAAACUAGACGUCGUAAUGGGACCACACACUGCCGACGAGAGUCGAUGGACUGACAGACUUUGAACAAAAGAGCUCCGCCUCUUGCGUGUACUCUAGGGCGGCGCACAUCCCCAAAUAUCAGCGACGGCAGGUUGAAAGGCGCAAAAUAAGCUAAACCUCGGUGGAGUUCAGCUCGGAGAAAGAAGAAGAAAAGUACACAACGCUGACUUCAAGGCUCUCUGGCAGCGGAAAAAUGCAGCGUAUGAAAAUAAAAGUAAAACAGAGCGAGCGCAAGCAGCAAAGGCUCCGACAACUCAGGUGACUUGUUUGCUUUUUUUUUUU